ensembl:lncRNA
GAUUAUUUAGACAAGAUGGUGAAUAUUACUUGAUGAUUGCCUUGAAGAGAGGGCUGCUGACAGGGGAGAGGGGAGAAAAAGUCUGGAGGCAUGAAAAAGGGAACACUUGAGCCAGAUCAGUACUGGGUAUUUGAAGUCAGAUUCCUGUCUUUUUCCUAUGCCCGCUAAUUCUAAGUCCAAACUAGAGCAGGUUUGCCUACUUUUACAGCUGGAUCUGGGAGGUGUGUAAGUGCAUGUCUCAGGUUCAGCAGAAAGCAGGAAUUUUCCUGCGGUGAGCACAGUCUAACUGCAAGACUGGCUUUGUCCUGGCUCCAGCUCUCCAAGCCUUGAUUCUAUCUGGUGGUACUUCUACACUGAGGAGUAUGUAGAAUUAAAAAGUUAGAGAGUCGUUUUGAAGGUAAUUAGCACAAGAGAGGAGAGACCUGCUACUUGUUUCUGACAUACAGGUCCCACUAUCAGUUCUCUUAUGGAAAAAACAAAAACAAAAACAAAAAACCUCCAGAUGUUGCCUACAGACCCAAGCAGAUUUGUUGAAAUUAUUUCAGGUAGGCUGUGAAACCACACAGACAAAUAUCCAUCACUGGAAAACACCACUGAUCUACAGACAAGCUUGGUUCUGACGGACUCUAUUGUGCCCCGCACCAGACUCCAGAACAUCUGUGUCAUGGGAUGACACCUCUCUGCUGGGGAAGUCUGUUCAAAUUUCUGUUCAGAUCCUCAGAAACCACAAGGCUGCUCUCAGGUCUCCCCAGAGCCUUCUCUUCUCCGUGCUGCCCAGACCCAGCUUUCAGCCUGUCCUCGUAAGAGAGGUGUUCUAUCUCUUGGGUCCCUCCUCUGGAUGUGCUCCAACAGGUCUGUCUCUGUACUGAGGACACCACAUCUGGACAUGGUGCUCCAGAUGCUGCUCCAAGAGAGAUGGCAGUGCAAAUGUAUGUUGUGAACUUGUUCCAAGUCGUACAGAUGUGAACAUUUCUCCAUGAAACCAGAGCUGGAUGCUGAAAUGUCCUGGGCAGACUGUGCAGUAACAUAACCUGUAACAUACAUACUAGCCUCUUGGGGCAGACCACCAAGACUACCAGUACCUUCUUUUCAAAAGCAUCUAAGACUACUGUGCUUCAAAUGAACAAAGUAGAGAACCGGACCACCGCCCCAUCCCCCAAGAAAAGAUCACCCUGAAGCCUUGGUAGUGGAGACAUGAGUUGUUCUGGAGACCUACCGAAAUUGGCUGUCAACUUCCUGCACAGUCAGGCUUUGGAUCAAGGAAAUGGAUUGUUAGUUGAGCAUACUCCAGAGCUGCCUCCAAAGGGUCCCAAAAAUAAGAGCUCUCUAGAAGCUGGAGGAGUCUGAAAGCAUUUACAGGACCAAACUAUCUUGAAAGAGGUGAAGAGGAAAAGCUUGAAUGCUGGUAGAGUUUGAGCUCCAAUGCAUAGAAGUAUUGCUACCAGGAAGAAAGAAGGCAACAGCUUCACAACUAGCAGCAGGAGUCAGGUCUGCUUUCUAACAUGUCCUUCUGGGAGCUCUCCAGGGCCUAGAGAGAGCUCAUUUCAUCAGCCUUUGCCAUAACAGGGGCACUAACAGAGAUUUUCUGCUCUCUUUGGUCACUAUUUUUCUUGCUAUUCAUAUGAACUUGGUAUCUUGGAGGCCGGUCCUUCAAAUUCCAGUUGAAGAUAUGCAACAGUUUCCAACAACUCCCAGAGGCAACUGUACACAUGGUGUGACCGCACAUGGAAAAAGAUCCUGGUGUGUUGAGAGGAAUGGCUACAGAGCCCUUCUGUGGCAGGUGCUGCUUUCAUAGAUCUGAUCAUCAGGAAGAAUCAUCUCUGAUGUGAAAGCGAUGACUGCCCUGUGAUGCACUGUGCAGCUGUCAGUGAUGUUUCACUUUGAGGCAGUCAGCAACUCAUGUCAAAGGUCUUGUUUGCACUUGAUGCUGCCUCAGAAAGCCUGAGUCACUCUUCACCCUCAUUCACCCUGGUUACAUACGUUUACUCUGUGGUUGUAUGGUGGUUGGGAAAGUCCUCAAGUACAAGGGAAGACAAAUCUGUCUUCUUCCUGAAAACUUAGUCCUACUGCUUUUAUAAUGAGAAAGCUGGUUGGCAUGUCAUUCCCAACAUCAGGGCUUGAAACACAAUGUAGUUUUACUGUCUGCCUCUGCUCAGGAAUCUGAGCUCCAAAACGUGAAAUACAAAUUACAUUUAUGUCAAAACAAAAUAGCAGGGAGUACACUCUCAGUUCCUGCUCUGGACCUAGGUCUCCAUCAGUAUGAAAGAAUGGAAUGAACAACCUUCUUUCCUAUUUUUCACUCUGAAGGGCGUUUGGGUAUUCAGCCAAAGUUUGCUGCUUGCUUCUGUUUGUGUACAUGGAUGUCUAUGAAACUUGAAUCCCUCAGUAUUUGCAUGAGUUACGAGCAUGUGCCCAGCUAAUUGCUGGCAUCAGCUGCAGUGUGUUUAAAGUCAUUCUCUGGUGGUCUGGUCAUGAAAUUGUACUUAUCCAUAGGAGCCUCAGUGCCACCAUUUUGUAUUGGCUUCAAGUUAUCUUCAACUACAGCCACCACCACCAGUAGUUCUGAAAGUUUAAAAUCAGUCAGUUGUUUGGAUACUCAUUAAGUCCUACAUUCUUAAAAAGCGAAACCUCUACAAAAGCAUCUCUGACAGCUGCAUAACAAAAAUAUAACUACUAAUAUAGCCAGCAUUGUUAGUUGAGCAUAGUCCAGAGCUGCCUCCAAAGGGUCCCAAAAAUAAGAGCUCUCUAGAAGCUGGAGGAGUCUGAAAGCAUUUACAGGACCAAACUGUCUUGAAAGAGGUGAAGAGGAAAAGCUUGAAUGCUGGUAGAGUUUGAGCUCCAAUGCACAGAAGUAUUGCUACCAGGAAGAAAGAAGGCAACAGCUUCACAACUAGCAGCAGGAGUCAGCCAGAGGUGUACCCAGGUGGCCAAGAAGGCCAGUGGCAUCCUGGCUUGUAUCAGAAACAGUGCUGCCAGCAGGAACAGGGAAGUAAUUGUCCCCCUGUACUCAGCACUGGUGAGGCCGCACCUCGAGUACUGUGUCCAGUUUUGGGCCCCUCACUGUAAGAAAGACAUCGAGGCCCUGGAGCGUGUCCAGAGGAGGGCAACAAAGCUGGUGAGGGGUCUGGAGCACAGGCCUUAUGAGGAGCGGCUGAAGGAGCUGGGAUUGUUCAGUCUGGAGAAGAGGAGGCCCAGGGGAGACCUUAUUGCUCUCUAUAACUACCUGAAGGGAGGUUGCAGUGAGCUGGGGGUCAGCCUCUUCUCUCGUGUGACAGUGAUAGGACUAGAGGGAAUGGCUUCAAGCUGCGCCAGGGAAGAUUCAGGCUGGACGUUAGGAAAUACUACUUCUCUGAAAGGGUGGUCAGGCCCUGGAAUGAGCUGCCCAGAGAGGUGGUGGAGUCACCGACCCUGGAGGUGUUCAAAGAAUGUUUUGAAUGUUGUGUUGAGGGACAUGGUUUAGUGAGAACCAUUGGUGAAGGGCGAAUGGUUGGACUGGAUGAUCCUGUGGGUCUUUUCCAACCUUGGAGAUUCUGUGAUUCUAAUAACAAAAUUUUCCUGCUGGUAAAUCUAAAUCAAUGCUUUCUCAGUAGCUUUUGAUGAGGAUCUUAAGGGGGUCUAUCAGCAUGACUCCAUUUAAAGUUUCAGUCAUUGUUAUGUUACCUGGGUGACCACAGAUGCUUUGAAGGUAACUUCAGAAAGGCUUAGCAGAAUAUGAGUUUAGCUGAAAUUGGGGCAUGGUGACAGAGGUUAAAGUGGGUAGUGUGCAGCUUUCUGGAAUGCACAGAGACUAGGCUAAUAUUUUUUCUGGCUGAUCACCUCUUGAUCCUCCCGUGUCUCCUACAUUCAUUUUCUGCUGGUAGGCAACAGCACUCACUCCUGUCACACCUGGCCUAGGAGACAUGGAAUGGAAAAACUCAGCCCGAGAUGAAAAACUUAAACAACAACAUAUGAGUUGAUGGCAUCAGGAUAUUGGGAUGACAGAAAAAUUGGGCAGCUGCCACCAUUUCCCAAUCACACAAUUCAGUUUCCUCUAGUAACUGAUGUAAUGCAGCUGCUUGAGAAUCUCACUUUCAUUAUUUUGCUCCUGUUUCAAAGCUGACAAUAAAAGAUAAUGACAUUCAUGAAUACACUAUGGCUUAGGAACUUGAGGAUGCAGAACUGAGAGCUUCAGGCACUUCCACCAGCUGUCCCAAAGGCCAUUCAAGCUGUAAAGCCCUUCCAUCGCUCUGGUUACUGAUGCUACUGGCACUGCCAGAGAAAGAUCAGUUGGGCUGAAUUAUCAAAGUCAAAGCCAGAGGUAGCUCUGAUGGGAAGCACUUGAACAAAUCUCAUGUCUUAACUCCUUACUGUGUAGGAAAUAAAAGGGGGUUUGUGCGUGGGAAGUGGAAGUGCCCUGUUUCUCAUUAUUGAAAUGCACAGCCUUGAGAGAGAGGGUGGAGCCAGCAUGCAAAAGAUAAAUCAUAUUAAUGCUGUUUGUUUCCCUCUUUUUGCCUUCCAGUUUCGUGGUCUGGGAGCUAGAGGCAGAGGGCUUUGCACUUCAGCUGUUAUUUAUGGCUAAAUAACCAGUAAAGGUGCUGGUUGUUUGUUUGUUUGCAGCAAGACAGAGAUAGAUAUGGGGACGUGGGAAAUACAGACCCCAGAAAGUGGAGUUAAAGCGAUGGAUCCUUCAGUCUUGUAAAAGAGUUUGACUGCUCCCAGGUGCCUCAUGAGCUGCUCACUUCAAGAGCCGUCGUGAAGCAGAGCUGUCACUGGGGCUGACAGCUUGACUGUGCCUUGGAGAAUGGGUAUGACUGGUGGCAUGUUUUCAUGCUAAUGGCAGGGAGCAAGUGGACCCACCUGCAGAGCACAGCAGGCUUGGGGGUGUGUCCUCAGAAGAGAGGAGUAGCUGGGAGGCAUCUUGGGGCAGUGAUUUGCAUUGGUCUGUGAGACACCCUGGGUGUACUUCAAUCACCGGCCUUGUCUGAGGGCCAUGUUCAGAUCAGAAAGAAACUCAGAAGUCUUUUCUCUUUUGUUUUGUUUUGUUUGUUGGAAGCUGGGGCUUUUUGGUGGGUAUGUAUGUCCCACAGGAAGCUAUUUCUAUCUUUUUUUUUUUUUUUUUUUGUAAGGGGAACCAUGCAAAGUACUUACUUGUUGUUAAUCAAACCUGCACUUAUCCCACGCUUCUACCCCAAAGCCUGAGGUGCGAUUUCUUGGAACGUUAUGUGUGCUUCAUUGGGAUUUCAGGAAAGAAGACUUACCGAGAAGCCAACCUCAGAAAAAGACCUCAAAAAAAUUCCAGGUUCAUGAAACAUUUCUCAGAAGGCAAGAAACAAUCCCCUGCCUCCCUCCCUGUGUUUAAACAAGGCUGAGCGGAUGGGCAAGAUGCAGCUUGACAGAGAACUUAUGUGCACUGCUAUUAAGCUGACAGAAGCCAGCAACUUCCACCUAUGCCUGCAGUGAACCAGGACUGGGAUGAUGCCCUAGCAACAGCAAAGCAAGGCCUGAGCAAGAAGAAACAGGUAUAUGCCAGAGUCUUAAUUCCAUCUUCAGGAAUUUCUUGGCACAGAAAUCCAAUAAAAACAAAGGAAAUAGCAUUCUUUUUGGACCCAUGGGGGAAGUUUAACGCCAUCCACCAUGGUGUCAGUUAGCAGGUGAGUGAGCUUGAAAAAAGGAAUGGCACAGCUCAAAAUAUUAUGGCUGUAGCUUGCCCUACAUGAUCUGCUAGUGCCAAGAUGACCACUGAGAGGUUGCUCAAGUUACUCUGAUAGGAGACUUAUAGGAGCACUGAUGCAAGGCACAGCCACAGCACAGGUGAUGCACUCCUUCCUCUUGCGUAAUUCCAUCAGUGACUACCUUGCCCAUCAUCAGAUUUGAUUAAGGUCUUUCAAACAGCAUUAAAAAUAAAAAGAAUGGUGCUAAUAAUUCUUGUGGCUGCUGAUUAUGGUAGGCAUCUUGUAGUUCAGCUUCAGGGACGUCAUAAUGAAAGCGUGAGACGUGUUGUAUACAGGCAGACAAGCCUGGUUCUGCUCCACGGUGAUUCCCCCAAGCUGGUGGGUUUGCAGCAGUGGGACAUGAAUGCCCUGGGGAUGGGAUAUUACGCCACAGUGAGUGAUUUCCAUUAUUGCCACCGCUGUUGGCUGUCUCAGCAGAGGACUGAACGCACGAUGAGGAAUGAGCUCUGAAAGAGGCCUCCUUAGUUAAGGCUCAGGACACACAGGCAACAGUGACAGGGUGCAAGUAUUUGUGGACAGACAGUUGACAGCAGGCUGUAAGGCUGUCAUUGCCGCAUAUUUCACUGUCAUUCAAAAUCUAGGUGUAUAUACAAUGGUAAAAAAAAGCUGAAAGAAAGCAACAGUGUGAAAAUCUGAAAUGGAAAGUUGCAAGAAAGCAAAAAGGCAGUUUCUAAAAGCUAUGUGCCUGGGUAUAGUUCUGGGCAGAAGACAGAUUGUUCUGCAGUAUAAGCAAUCGUUGUAUGCCCUGGUAGUGAGAUUUGUGCUGGCUAAUGCCAAAGGCCCAUCUUCACCCAGUUUGCAGUGUCUGAGGGAAGCCUGAGAGAGAAACUCUAGGUAGUGUGAUCCUUCCCCUGCCAUAACCCUGGCAUAUCCACCCGAAGUCUGUCAUCAGCUCUGUGGUAAUUUUUAGUGGAUCCUUUAAGUGCAGUGGUUCUACUUGUGCGAUAGAAUCAUAGAAUGGCUUAAUUUGGAAGGGACUUUGAAGACCAUCUAGUUCCAACAGCCCUGCUCUGGGCAGGGUUGCCAGCCACUAGUUCAGGCUGCCCAGAGCCCCAUCCAGACUGGUCCUGAACACCUCCAGGUAUAGGGCACCCACAGUUUCUCUGGGCAGCCUGUGUCAGGGCCUUAACACCCUCUGAGUAAAGAAUUUUUUCCUAACAUCUAUCCUAAAUUUUCCCUCUUUUAGUUUAAAGCCAUUCCCCCUGUCCUGUCACUAUUAGCCUGUGUAAAAAGUUGCUUUCCCUCCUGCUUAUGAGCUCCCCUUCAAGUUCUGGAGGGCUGUAAUGAGGUCUCCCCAGAGCAUUCUCUUAUCUAAGCUAAACAAGUCCUACUCCCUUAACCUUUCUUCACAGGGGAGGUACUCCAGCGGUCUGAGCAUCUUCGUGGCCUCCUCUGGACCCACUCCAACAGCUCCUUGUCCUUCCUGUGCUGGGGACCCCAGGCCUGGACGCAGUACUCCAGAUGGGGCCUCACAAGGACAGAGCAGAGGGGGACAGUCCCCUCCGUUGCCCUGCUGCCACCCCUCUGUUGAUGCAGCCCAGGAUGCAGUUGUCUUGAACACUUCAAACGCCUUGCCACUAUUUGUGUCUCUGCAGACCUCUGUCACCUCCCCCUGCUGUCGCUUUUCUGAGCUGUGGCAUCCACCUACGUGGAGACAGAGGCUGUGCAGUAUGCAAAAUCACCACGUCUGUUCUUCCCUGUUUAUUGCCUGUGCUUUUCAAGAGAGAGUGAUGAGACCACCCCCCCCCCCCCCCCCCCCAGGGAAUAUGGCAUAGAUGCAUUGCAGACUUCUUCCACAGUGGCAAAGUUUACCAUCUUUUCCCCUAGAGUUUCUGUAGGACUGCCAGUGAUCCUGCAUGCCUUCGUUCUGAGCAUUGAGCCGGUAUUUUGAAAGCACUAUAUGCAGUGGCUACAGGCAGAAUGAUAGAUAACUGUUUGAGCAGCAAGGUGUGCUCACACGGUAGAGAACUGCACGUGAGGGUAGACAUUUCUCUGAGCUCCUAUCUUAGACUCUGCUGGUGUCCUGUCUCGGCUCUCAGAGCAUGCCCAGUGUCCCUGCAGUGCCCUGGUCUGCCUUGGAAGAGACUUGACUGCAGUGAGCAGGAGAAGACAAGCAGAGCAGGGCAUUUUCAAAUUCUCGUUCAUAUUUGAGAGCUCUCUGAAUUAGUGGCUGUUUUAGGUGAAUACUAUGCUAGAAAGAAAGAGGAAGCAUUGUUUUGAAUUGUUGAUAACUAGUGUUUCACAAUGACCUUGCAAUUGCCUGCAAGCAGAGUCAACCAUGUAUCAGACGCCAAGAUUAAGCAACAGCAAUGUAAUCUGGCCUUGGGGUUAUUCCAUGUACAUCCCCUGCUUACUACAUGGUUUUGAAUUUCCCUAAAACAGUAUUUUCAUGAUCUUAAGCAGUGAAAACAAAAUCCCCCUUCGAUGCUUAUUUGUUCCUUUUUGUAGAUGUUACUGUCUCAUCAAGAAGAUGAACUUGAUCAUGAAAAGCCAUGCUUCCAUUUCUCAACUCUUCCUCUCCCUGGAUGGAGACCUCUGUCCCCUUUGCCUAUGUUGUAAUAGGAAGAUCUUGUUGGUAGCUCAGGUAGGUGCUGUACAACACAGGUAUAUGUACACAUGUAGGUUCAUGUACCUGUAGAUGGGACAGCUUCUGCUUCACUGAGAACAGUUGAAUUUCUGCCUGUUAAGCAGAGCUGCAAUGGGAACUGGAUCUCCAGUUCUUACUUUUAUUUAUGUACAUUGAUAAUACUUAUCAAAGUGCAGGCCCUGUCCUGAUCUUGGAAAUUUCCACUGGCUCCACUUACACAGGGCUUCAGGAUUUGACUUCAUGUGUUCAAACCUACCAUGCUGGGCCGGGUUAUUCUAUCCAUUUUUAUUCAGUAGAAGAGUUAAGUUGCUAACUCCAGACUGUACCCAGCAGAAAGCUGAGUCCCACCUCUGCUGGCUCUGACAUGCUUAAUAACAUACUGUAAUGUAUUUCAGUCUAUCACUGGAUUUAGAUCCCACUCCUCUAUGGACGUGAGCUAGUCUUUGUCAGAAAACAAAAAAACAACAACAACAACAAAAAAAAAAAAAAAAGGAAAGGAAAGGAGUGUAAAUAGAAAUGCAUUAAUUCAGUUGUCUAGACAAUAUCUGUAGAAUUAAAAUGAUUGAAAAUGUAGAGUGAAGUAGAAUUGGGUUGGAACCAGAACUCUUGUGGGCUUUAUGCAGGAGUUGUGUUUUGGUGGAGGAGAUAAGGUAGAUGUUCUGAGAUAUUUAGCUUACUGCUCUGUUUUGCUUUGUCACGGGAAGAGGAGUAGUAUAAAGGGAAGGCAGUGGGCAGAACAGCUCUUACAUUUAGGCAUGAGCUGGGAGAAAUAACAUGCUGUAAACGUUGCAGCUGACAUAGCAGAGGCCCAUUUGACCUGGAUUACAGGGCAAUAAAUGCAGUCAGGUGAUUCAAGGGUGUUGUGCAUAAAUUUGCCAGGUACUUAGGUGAAAGCAGAUCAGGAAAUAAUUAUGGCUGAUAAGGGGAGCUUGUAAGGAAGCCAGCACCUGUGACCAUGAAAUGUUUUAAUGAUUAACUGUGAUUGAAAAGCUAGAAGCACAUUCUCCCCUUUCGUAUCAGUCACACCCAGCUGUUCUCCUGCAUCAUUAACUUCUGAGUUGCCUGAAUGUCACUGCUGUGUACGAACCAGCUUUGAUUCAGGGCAGCCUGUGGGAUGUGAAUGUUGAAGCUGGUUGGUUCCGAGAAGGGCAUGGGCUUUGGCCUGGAUUAAUUUUGAGGGGAACUCAGCCCUUGUGGAAGCUGCCAAAGAUCACUGUCCCCUGGGUAGGAGACAAAAAAUAUGGCCCUGACCUAGAUACUGUUCUGGAACAUCUCCUCCUUUCUGUUUCGUCAUGCAGUGAUGAAAACAGCAGAUGUAAAUAAAAACAACUCUUGCCAAUGCAAUGCUGAAGUGACAGUCUGUGGUUGUUCUGCUUCUGCAGCAUUUGCAGCACAAUAUGGCACUAAUAUUUUACUUAUUUGUGCUACAGGCUCCAGUUUUGUAGGCUCAUGCAAGAGGAUGGCACUACCACCAAGAAAACUUCCGUUCCUAGAACCAGGAGCGCUGGUCCAGACCCAUGAGAUUUCAUCUUCUAAGCCCCUCUGGCUAAUUGCAAGGUGCUAUAGGCAUAGGAUUGCACCUCGGGAAAUGAAGAAUCUCAGACCUUCAGAAUCCACUCUUAGGUGGAUCUCAUGUUGCUCAGGAAAAAAUGACAUGAGAUUUACACAUUCUGUUACCACUUCCCAGGGUUGCAGCAUCACGCAGCAAAACAGCACAGAGAAAAGUGCCAUGUCCCAUGCUUGCUAGCUGUUUCUUGUGUUGGCUGCUCAGCCUAACAACCGUGCAGAGCUGUCCUUUGCACUCCUACCGUACAGCUGUUAGUAUAGCAUUUUCUAAUUGAUUUUACUCAAUUAACACUUGCUAAUUAAUUUCUAUUAAUUACCUCUCAUUUAGAGACCUGCACAGGCACAGCUAUAAAUCUCCGCACAGCACACUUUCAUGAAUGGCAGUCUAUGUACAAUUAGCAGCAGUUUUUGCCACUCAGAAUUGCCUCUGGCAGGAGAAGGUGUUGAUGAACCCACUGUGCUGGACUCAUGUAGCAUGUGAAGGUGUGUGUUGCAGCUCAGGGGAGUGGGGGCUGUUAGCGUGGGCUGCUGGGAGCCACGUGCUGUCAGUGUGACUGUCCAACAGCGUGCUUGUAACUCCCAUGUCAAUCUGCAUUGCUGUACCUGUGGAUAACCUUGGCCUAGAUGCAGACUUUAUCAUCAUUUCUGAGAAAAUUAUGUUGUUAAUACAUCAUCUGUAAUCAAUAGGCCAUGGCCUUCAUUCAGGAAGACACUUAGGAGCAUGGCUAAUAUCCAUUAUGCAGUCUGGUACCUUUAUGGUGGUUAUUUUUUUUAAGAGCCUGGUAUUCCAUUUAAAAUUGGAUUUGUACUAAACUGAGGCUUUAUGCCUACAGAGGACAUCAGCCAAGACCUGACCAUGAGGUGCCAUGUGCUUACAGUGUAAGGAUGACUUUGAAGCUGGUAAACGCUUACAAGACCUGCUCCAAAAGUAUUUCCUCCUGUCCUAUGAUGUUGGUCUACAACAUCAAAACAGAUGUUGGUGGUAUGGCAGUAGAGACUGAACCUCCCUGCCAAUAUCCCAUUACAUUUUGUCACCAUGUGUUGGAUUGCAGCAGAUGGUAAAUCUGACAUGGAAGUGCACAUGAAAAUGAAGGCUGGAAUUGAAUUUCCUCCUUGGAGAAAAAAAAAAAAAAAGAAGGCACUUACUGACAUUCAUUGACAUUUGCUGAAUGUUUUUGAAGACCAAACAGUGGACAUGAGCACCGUGAGGUGUUGAGUGGUGCAUUUCAACAGUGGUAAUGGUGACGUGAAAGACAAGCCAUGUUCUGGAUGUCUGUGCACUGCUGUCACCACAAAAUGAAGAGUGUUUUGAUCUGCUCAUCCAAGCAAUGUGGCAGAUUAUGACCAGGGAACUCUAAGGAAAGAAAUGCUGACUUCAGUGUGUUGGAAAUGAUGGUGGCAAUGUUGCAGUAUUGCAAAGUUUGCACCAGAUGGAUCCCACAGAUGUUCACACUGGAACAGAAAGAACACCACAUGCACAUUUGUCAGACCUAUUGAACCAAUGCAAGGCUGAAAGUGACAGUUUGCUGGAUCACAUCUUUACCAGUGGCAAGACACAGUAUCACCAUUAUGGGCUGGAGUCAGAACAGCAGUUCAUGGAGUGGCAUAUGUGAAUUCCUCCUUGAAGACAAAGUUAAAGAUGCAGCUCUCAGUGAGUAAAGAGGUGAUCUUUCUGAAUUUUCUGGAACCUGAACAAAUCAUCAGUCCUAACUGCUACAUUGCAAUGCUGACUAAGCUGAAGGGUUGAACAUCCAGAGUCAGGACAGAGAAGAUGACAAUAUUUCUUUUGCAACAUGAUAACACCAGGCCCCAUAGUAGUUUGAAGACCAUGGAGCACAUUACCAAUCCUAUUACACUCACUGUAUAGUCCAGAUUUGGCAAUUUCUGACUAUCGUUUGUUUGGGCCAAUGAAAGAUAGACUGCAUGGGCAUCGUUUUCCUAAUAACAAUGCCAUCAUACCAGCUGUGAAGCCACGGGUCACAUCCUCUGGUAUGCAUGAGCAUGGCACAUAGACUCUUGUCAUUGCUGGUGAAAAUACACAGCUAAUGGUGAUGACUUUGUUGAAAAAUAGUGUUUUGUAGCUGAAAAUUUGCUCUACUAAAUAGUGUUAUUGUUCUCUUUGCAUCUGUUGUCAUUUCCAUGGAAAUAGAUAGAAGGCAUUACAUUCAGAUCAACCUACAUAACAUGGAAAAAGAAAUACUAAUGCAUAGUGCAAGUCAACAGACGGGAGAGAUCACCAUCAGUGCACAUCGUGAAUGAAUCCUUACUAGGCCCUAUUUGAUGUUUUUUCUUGAAAGACAUUUUUGUUGUUAAUAAUCUUUAAUUUUAUUUCAGCAUGAUUCUUUCUAUUUUAAGGAUCUGUUAAGAAUUGUUAGUAAGUAAUUGUUCAUUAGGAUUAUAUCUGAGUUUUGUUUAUUUUUAAUUCUGUUCAGGUUGGGUAGUUUUAAAUCAGAUUAAUACUUAUCUUCUUACUUCACUAAUUGUUGCAUAUUCUGUUCAGUUACAUAUCUUAAAAACAUUUGUUUGUGGGGUGGCCCAGGCCAAGCCUCACUGAGCUGAGCCUGACUUCCACAUCAGACUGGUAGCCAUGCUGCACUCCCUUUCAAAAUGGCAGGGAGCUGAUGUUAAGGAAUGGACCUCAGGGCACGGGCUGGAUGAAGCUGUAAGAAGCUCCUGUACUCCUACAGCACUGCAGCAUCAGGCUGCUUUUUAAUUUAGUCAGGCAUCCCACUUGGAGGAUGAAAAUGCUGAAGGAAAGGGAACCUCCAUGGGCUGUGGGUGAUGAGGCCACCGGAAUGGAGUUUGGACAAUACAAGAGGGAAUAAAUGUGAAAGGCUCAGAGGCUCUUGCUGCAGCUGGAAGUGGCUUGCACUGACCCUGAUGAGAGCACUGUGGUGCUGUGUGCUGGGCAGCAGUCACCAUAUUUCAGCUGCCACCAGCUGUUGGGCAUACAUAAUGUGGAAGACAAAGCUAGAAAAGAAUCACAGUGCCACGAGGGUUUUCCAGCCCCCUAAAUGGCUGCUCCUGCAAAGUGAGGAGACACCAGCCAAAAUCAGGCAGGAGGGACUAAUUCUGUAGAAGAGGAAUGGCUUUGUCUUUAAUUAUGACAGCCUUCAGAGCUCUCUCAGUGCUGGAAUUUGUCUUAAAAAUGGGGAAAAAGAGAAUCUGCCUGUAUUAAUAUUUUCCCAAGCUUAUUUAAGGACACCUAGAAUUGACAAUAGAUCUGAUUGCUUUUAUUUGGUCAUGAAGCUAGGAAAGCCUGACAUAGAUGGUCAUGAAGUCAUAUAUUCUUCAUAGUUUAUGAAUUAUCUUGUGAACAUAUGGAAUACGUGUCAUUAUUUCAACUCCCAGUGCUGGAAACUGUGCAAAUAAAUGACUGAGUCAGAAGGUGAAUCAGUGUAAGUUAGCUCUACUGCCAGUUGCUUAAGAGCACAGUCAUGACAGGCAAUUACUUGGCUAAUUAGAGUAGAACUUUGAACACUGAAAUAAUAGAACCAUACAAUCAUUAAGGUUGGAAAAGACCACUAUGAUCAUCUUGUGCAACCACCAACCUAUCACCACCAUGCCUGCUAAACCAUGUCCCUCACUGCCACAUCUACAUGGUUCAUGAAGACCUCCAGGGAUGUGACUCCACCACUUCCCUGGGCAGCCUGUUCCAAUAACUCAACACUAUUUCUGAGAAGAAAUUCUUCCAGAUAUCCAACCUGAACCUCCCCUGGCACAACUUGAGGCCAUUCUCUGCUGUCGUAUUGCUAGUUACCUGCUAGUCUCUUCGACUGACCUCCACCUUGCUACAGCCUCCCUUUAGGGAAUUAUAGAGAGUGAUCUAUAGAGAGUAUGGAGUCUCCCCUGAGCUUCCUCUUCUCCAGAUUAAACAAUCCCCAUUCCCUCUGCCUCUCUUCAUAGGACUUGUGCUCCAAUUCUUCACCAGCUUUGUUGUUCUUCUCUGAAUACGCUCCAGGGCCUCAUUGUCUUUCUUGUAGUGAGGGGUCCAAAAGUGGACAUGGCACUUGAGGUGCAGCCUCAACAGUGCUGAGUACAGGGGAUGAUCACCUCCCUUCUCCUUCUGGCUACACUAUUUCUGAUAUAACUCAGGAUACCAUUGACUUUCUUGGCCAUCUAGGCACACUGCUGGCUCAUGUUCAGAUGAUUGUUGACUACCACCCCCAGGUCCUUUUCCUCCAUGCAUCUUUACAGCCACUCUGCCUCAAGCCUGUAGCAUUGCCUGGGGUUGUUAUGGACAAAGUGCAGGACCACACACUUGGUUGAGCUUCAUCCCAUUGGUCUCAGCCUAGAAUCAUAGAAUCACCAAGAUUGGAAAAGACCUCUGAGAUCAUGCAGUCCAACUGUGCACACAUCACCAAUAUUUCCCACUAAACCAUGUCCCUCAGUACAACUUCUAAACAUCCCUUGAACACCUCCAGGCAUGGUGACUCCAUCACCUCCCUAGGCAGCCUGAUACAGUGCCUGACCACUCUCUUGGGGAAGAAGUAUUUCCUAAUGUCCUGAAUCUCCCCUGGCACAACUGCAGGCUAUUCCCUCUUGUCUUAUUGCCAGCUAAUGGGAGAAGAGGCCGACUGCCCACCUCACCACAACCUCCCUUCAGGGAGUUUUAGAGAGUGAUAAGGUCUCCCCUGAGCCUCCUCUUCUCCAGACUGAACAAUCCCAGUUCCCCCAGCUGCUCCUCAUGAGGCUUCUACUCCACAUCCCUCACCAACUUUGUUGCCCUUCUCUGGACAUGCUCCAGGGCCUUGAAGCCUUUCUUGUAGUAAGACAGCCCAAAACUGAACACAGUACUUGAGGUACAACCUAUUGAUCCAGCCAGUCCAGAUCUCCCUGGAGGGCCUUCCGAACAUCAAGCAGAUGUACACUUCACCCAGACUGGUGUCUGCAAACUUGCUGAAGAUGUACUCAAUCCCCUCAUCCAGAUCAUCAGUAAAGAUAUUGAACAGGACAGGCACCAAUACCAACCCCUGGGGAACACCACUUGCAACCAGUAACCAGCUGGGUUUAGCUUUGUUCACCACCACUCUCUGGUCCCAGCCCUCCAGCCAGUAUUUCACCCAAUGAAGAGUCCACCUCUGCAAGCCAUGGGCUGCCAGCUUCUCUAGGACAAUACUGUGGAAAAUGGUUAAAGGCUUUGCUGAAGUCUAGGUAGAUCACAUCCACAGCCCUUUCCAGAUACACCAGGUGGAUCACCUGGUUGUAGAAGGAGAUCAGGUGGUCAAGCAGGACCUGCCUUUCAUGAACCCAUGUUGGCUUGGCCUGAGCUCCUGGUUGUCCUGCACACGCUGAGUGAUUGCACUCAAGAUGAUCUGCUCUGUGACUUUCCUUACACCAAAGUCAGGCUGACAGGCCUGUAGUUCUCUGGAUUCUCCUUCUGACCCUUCUUGUAGGUGGGUGGAACAUUGUCAAGUCUCUCGUGGUCUGGGACCUCCCUGGUUGGCCAUGACUGCUGCUAAAUGAUGGAGAGCAGCUUGGCAAUAACUUCUGGCAGCUCCCUCAGUAGCCUCAGGUAGAUCACAUCUGGACCCAUGGAUUUGUUGACAGUCCAUGUGAAGUAGCAUGUCAGUAACUCUUUCUUCCUGAACUGUGAGGGAAUUCCUUCUGAAAUGCAGCAUUUUCAAAUGAGCUUACCAGAAUUAAGUGCCUAGUGUCCUUCUGCUGUCUAUGAGAGGUGGGUACACCUUUCCUUUAAAUGCUCAGCUUAGCAGAAUGCCCAAGGCAAUUUAUUCAGAAGCUGAGGGAGCAGCAUUUCCAGUGGGUGUCUGGGCAGCAUACUCUUGCAGAAGGACAGAAUACCUCUAGACCAUGCAUGUCCAGUCUGAUACCUUUAUGUUUCCGUUGCCCUUGUCUUUUAAUGUUUUAAUAACUAAAAUAUAUAUAUAUAUAUAAUUUUGUUACUUAUGUACGUUAACUAUUUAUUUUAUAUGUGGCCCACACCUUUCCUGCAUUAACUAUUUUUUUUAUAUGUGGCCCAAGCAAUUCGUCUUCACUCAGUGUGGCCCAGCCAAGCCAAAAGGUUGGGCACCUAUAACUUUGGCCUGAACCAGGUCCAGCUGAUGUUCUCUUCACUGGAGAGUGCAUGUUGGAAGAGGUGGCAUCUGAUUCAGAGUCUUUGCCAACACUAUUUUGAAAGGACACAUAAAUGUAAGAGAAAUGACACUGCUGCCCCUUAAAAUGCUCAGCAGGCAAUUAGUCCUGUGCAAAAGUUCAGACAGAAUUAGGAUGGCUUCCCUUUGCUCCACUGAUAAGCAAAGUAACUUGUUUAUCCUUGGAAAGGUUGCCUGGCAUUACUUGAAAGAUAAGCUGCAUAUUGAAAGUGCUCAACCCAAGAACUUCUUUGCAGAACAUGCAGUUGUGUCCUUGACUGCAGCAGCCACUACCCAUCUUUGCAGCUGACUGAAUUCCCCCUUGCCUAUCUUUCCUGGGGAGAGAGCAUGGACUUUUGCUGUGGAUGUCAACUGGGCAAGAGUUAAACACUGCCAUGGAGCUGUUGUCUCACCUUUGAAAAUGUAGUGGGAGAUAUGUACCUCUGCUCUUGUAAAGAAUCCCGUUUUCUUGCUGGCAGCACAGCCUGCUCCAAUUAGAAAACAAGAUCUGAAACAAGGCCUGGAGUCGGUCUGUCCCCUGCUGUGUCAGUGGCACUGUUGCUGCUUUUGUGAUGAAUUCCUGUAUACAAAACCCAGGCAGUGCAGAGCUGGGAGUAGCAGUUGAUUCACUGGAGGGCCAUGCUGCCAUUCAGAAAGACCUCGACAGGCUGGAGAAAUGAGCCCACAGGAACCUCCGUCAGCUCAACAAAAGGAAAUGCCAAAUCCUGAACCAGGGGAGGAACAAACCCAGGCACUACUACAGGAUGGGGAACCCCCAGCGGGAAGACAGCUGGAAGAGGAAAGACCUUAGGAUCUUGGUGGAUGCCAAGUUGAACAGGAGCCAGCAGUGUGCCUUUGUGGCACAUCCUCAGCAUUAGAGGAAUUGUUGCCAGCAGGUGGAGGGAGAUGAUCCUCUUUCCACUCAGCUCUGGUGAGAUGCAGCUGGGCUCCCAGUACAGGAGGCACAUGGACACUCUGAAAUGUGCCAAAUGAACGAUCAAGAGCAGCAUGAAGAUUGGAUCCUUUAGCUUAUGAGAAGAGGCUGAGAGAGCUGGAGUUAUUUAGACUGGAGUAGGGAAGGCUGGAGUUAGUGGAGGACUUAUCAAUGGGCACAAAAUAAAACACAGGAAAUUCCAUUUCGAAAUAGAAAAUCCCUUACUGUAGUGGUCAAACACCGGAAUAGGUUGCUCAGAGAAACUCUGGAGACUCUACUCUUGGAAAUAUUAAAAACCCUACCAGAUGUGGUACUGAGCAGAGUGUUUGGACUAGACAGUCUGCAGAGCACCCUUCUGACCUCAGUGGUUCUGUGAUUUUAUUCCCAGUUUUAUUCCCAGUUUACAGCCAGUUGUUAACAUCAAAUAAAUUACUCAGCUACCAAUGAGUUGAAAUGACCCGCUAAAGAACUAAACUGAUUCUGUUUUAGAGUGAAGGCCUACUGGACUGGAGUGGAUUGGUUGAGCCAGACAGGUCUGUCAACUGGAUAAACUGUCUUCUUCCUUUUACUCUGAGCUCCUCCCUUUGGCACACUCUGAGCAAUAGAACGUGCGAAAGCCAGUAUCCAGAGUUUAUGGUCUCUAGGUCUAGGAACUGUUUUUGUUAUAUGAAUAACAAAUGGAAGAGUGAGGCUGUAGCAAGAUCUUGGUAUAUCAGGUCAGAAUCUCUUCAGUUAUCAAGCAAUACCUUAUUCUCUGGCUUUGGCUGGAGUGAGCACAUUUUUUUAGGGUUCAUGCCACAAGGUGUAGAGAACUGGCUACAGAUAUCAAUUUAAGCUAUUUUAUGGAAGAAGAAAGCAGUGUGUGAUGAAAAGCUAGGCCAGUGUUAUGAAUAUGUGCUAUAGCUUGUGCUGUUGAUCUAAUAGAAAUUCUGCUUGUUUUUCCAAAGCCUAUUAGAACUUAGAAGCUGGGAUUUCAAGGUGUUAUUCUGUUAGUGAUAGAGAGAGGAUGGAACUGAAAUCCUCUCACUUUUUUUCAUGACACUGUGGGAAAUAAUUUCAAGUUUUGAUCGGGUCUGAGGAAGAAGGCAAGGAGGUCUCAAAGGUCAGGCUGUGAUCAUUAGAAUCUAGGUGGUCUCCCAGGGGUACAGGCAAGUUAAGGGCUCUGCAAAACUAAGGUCACAACUAAGUAUGGGCUGCCUGGGGAUAAACUAAUACCUUAGAAAAUGGACUGGAAUGGAGACCAUCCAGCUUCUGCAUUGGAAGGCUUUGUACUUCCUAGGCUAAUCUAGCCUUGAGUGAACCAAAAGUAAUAAGAAGUUCCUUGAUCAUCUGUUGUUCUAGGCUUUCCUGUUAUGGUGUUUUCUUUAAGAUUGUCUCUAUUUCUUUUUGCUCUAUACUGAGAUACUUGAGCCAGUGGCAUGGGAGUACUAGUGACAGGGUGGAUUUGUCAAUUAAGCAUCUAAAAAGCUUCAGUAAAGAUCUGUGAAAACAUGAGUGUUCUCAGUAAAAUAUCUUUCAUUCUGGAAAAGUCAAGGAAGUCAUGAAACCAUAAGGUAGCAGAAAGAAGUUCUGCAACUGUUUUAUCUUAACUUGACAAACAAACAGGUAUAUGCUUCUGGUUUCCUCUUCUCUCCUUAUGGAUAAGAAGCUAUGGCUUUCAAAAUGCAAUUUAAACGUGGAGUGCAAUGUUCCCAUACCCCCAGCUCACUUCUAAUUGAGAUAAAAUACAAACUACUCACUGUAAUGUUCAAGAGCCAAGAAAUGCCUUGUGGUUAAGGCAAGUUUGGCUAUUAGUCACUUUCUGAGUCCCAGUUCUGCCAGCAACAGUAUGUGACAUCAGCAAGUAAGCUUUCCUGGUAUGGGAAAGUACUUCACUAUGAAUUUCCCUGGAUUAUAUUCUUGUUCCAUUAAAGCUAAUCCUGUCCUUCGAGCAGGAUAUUGAUUCAGAUUCUGCUUUCUUACUGACUGUACACUGCAAAUGAGAACGACAGCCUCCCAAAUCAUCUGGUUUUCCUUUGUAGAUAGACUUUCAGUUUCCAGCUGAAGAGGAUAAAUAUUUCUGGGGGCUGCAGCACUAGGAAGUGCUGGUACACUCACAGCUGGGGCAGUCAGGGAGUAAAAAUGUGCCACUAGGACACUGCUUUCUGACCUACUGUUAUUAUUUCUGAGAGAACUAAUGGUACUGUGAGAGAAAAAAAGAGCAAACAGAAAAGAGAUUACUCAUUCCAGGAAGAAAAUUCUGAUGAUCAGGGAAGAAGAAAAAGGAAGGACUGAAAUUCAUCCCAUCAAACAUCUCAGAGCUUACUCUGUGGUCUCAUCUGCAGCCUCAGUGGGGUUUCAGGCAAAAUCUGCAUGUGAAUGAACACAAGGAGGCUCAAACGUGCGACUGUUAAUUGCAGACAACCGUGGGAGUGAUGAUGCCAAGGUUGUCACUGUAAUGCCAAAAGGAUCCAACUGGAGUGGUUAAAAAUCAUGUAGGACUGUAUUUAGAGCUUGUACUCACCUCUCGUGGUGUCUAUGCAAAUCCUGCUUGACUUAUCAUCACUCUUCAAAAUGAGGCACAUUUCUGAAGUUCCUAAAUUCAGGCAGUAGUAGUUCCUGAACUCAGGUAGAAUUUCUGAAUUUUUCACUCUAAGCACCCAUGCAGUGGUUAUCCCUGUCUGGCCCUUGUCUGUGGUAGUGCCCCAUCUCACUACAACCAUCUCACUGAUCCUGUGCUGAAUCACCUUGCAGACUGCAUCGUUCCUACCUGGCCAGGGAGGUGCAGGAAGCUGGUGGAGAAAGCAAACCAGCCUCUUCUGCCUGUAGACACAGCUGGGAAAGCUUUGCCCUGCCUGUGUUCUGCACUGAAAUAACUGCUCAGUAUACCACUGAUGCCAGAAAGUGCUGUUACCAUGGAUGGCAAUAAAUCAAUAUACAAAAAUUCCUCUCUACUAAGUAAUGCUGAAUGUACCACAAUUAUGCUUAUCUGUUGGCCUCAAUAUUUUGCAUUAUAGCUCCUGCAAAAUUUUUGUGUAAGGUAGAACUGCAUCAAAUGACUCUUCCCUCAAAAUGCUAGUACACUCCUGCAGGUGCAGGGCAGCAGAAGACUAUCGAUAGAGCAGGCUGAAAUGUGAACUGGUGACUUCAUUGGCUUCCCAUAAAGUUAAUUCUCCAGGGACUUGACAGAAGCCGUGAAAUUAUGCCAAGAAUUAAAGCCAGAACAAAGUUGGAAGGAUGAGUCUGUCUCCUGUCUGAAUCAAAUCACAGUGGACACAGCAAGUUGGCUGCUGCUCACAUACAGACCAAAGCUCCUGCAGUCCACUCUCUUCAAAGUCUGUGCAAGAGCAUGAGCCCAGGUACUCUGAACAUUGCACAAGUAGCAGCAGUGCUCCUUCUGAGGCAUGUGCCACAUACACACAUGUAUCCAGUGGGGUGAAUGGAAACGCGCAGAGAAUGUUGGACUCCUCCUUAGAAAGCGAAUUGUCACCAUGGGAAGAUUGCCAUGUGUUUGUGAUGGUUAAACGUGGAGUGGAAAUCAGGGCUGGAACUAGUCUCUGACCUAAAGCUGUGGGUUGGACAUAAAUGGAUGUCAAACCUCCGUCUCAACUGUUACAUCAGGAACAAAAUGGGUGUUUUUUCCUGUUGAUUUAGCCAGCCUGACCCUGACUUUUCAUAAAGGUCAUGUUACACUGACAGUCAAGGAAGGCUGCAAGUUUCUGGAGCCACAACCUGCAAAUAUCCACCACAGACAAUCCUUUGUUCUCUCCAGGGUCAGCAAGGAAUUUCUCUGCAAAAUACUUGUUUUUUCGGUGGCUGCUCAUUGAUAGGAAGGAACACAUAAGGCCCCCAUUGUGGCGUAGUUUUUCCGCAUAGAUGUUGAAGUUAUGUUUUAAAGGGAGAUUGAACCACAUUUCAUGGGGAAUCAUGAGAGUUUUGAUUUUUUCUUAAAGCAAACAAAUGUAGACUUGAAAUACAAAAAAUGCGUGCUAUGUUACAUGUGUGCCCAAUGGGUGGUUUCAGUGAAAAUGUAAAGUUAUCCUUCUGAAAAACGUGGUGAUUUGCCUGUGUCCUGCUGCAGCCUGUUUGGCAGUGAUUUUUAGUGUU